rnacentral:rRNA from 1 species
UACAGAGGUCUCAAGCGUUGUUCGGAUUCAUUGGGCGUAAAGGGUGCGUAGGCGGCGCGGUAAGUCGGGUGUGAAAUCUUGGAGCUUAACUCCGAAACUGCAUUCGAUACUGCCGUGCUUGAGGACUGGAGAGGAGACUGGAAUUUACGGUGUAGCGGUGAAAUGCGUAGAUAUCGUAAGGAAGACCAGUGGCGAAGGCGGGUCUCGUGGACAGUUCCAUGACGCUGGAGGAGCGAAAGCGUGGGGAGCGAACAGG